CCUACGGGUGGCAGCAGUGAGGAAUAUUGGUCAAUGGACGAAAGCCUGACGCAGCGACGCCGCGUGAGGGAUGAAGGUCUUCGGAUCGUAAACCUCUGUCAGCAGGGAAGCACGGUCACUGUGCUAAUCAGCAGUGAAUUGACGGUACCUGCAAAGGAAGCACCGGCUAACUCAGUGCCAGCAGCCGCGGUAAUGCGGAGGGUGCGAGCGUUAAUCGGAUUUACUGGGCGUAAAGCGCUCGUAGGCGGUAUGUCAAGGCAAGGGUGAAAUCCCCGCGCUCAACGUGGGAACUGCCUUUGAAACUGGCAAACUGAGGGGUGUGAGGGGAUAGUGGAAUUCCAGGUGUAGGGGUGAAUGCCGUAGAUAUCUGGAGGAACAUCAGUGGCGAGGCGGCUAUCUGGCACAUAACUGACGCUGAGGAGCGAAAGCGUGGGUAGCAAACAGGAUUAGAUACCCUUGUAGUC
rnacentral:rRNA from 1 species